rnacentral:misc_RNA from 1 species
GUAUUUUAUUUUAUUAAAAUUUUUUAGACUUUUAUUUGUUUAACAUCUUUGAGUUUUUUAUUAGAAAAAAGAGGAAAACCUGGAUUAAUUUUUUUUUAAAAAAAGAAAAAAAACCAGGUCAACUUAUAUCAAGUGCACACAAAGUGGAUAUGGAUUUAUUUUAUUCCCAAUUAAGGGAAAAAAAAAUUUUUAAUGAUCCUUCCGCAGGUUCACCUACGGAAA